rnacentral:rRNA from 1 species
AAUAGAUACCCUGGUAGUCCACGCCGUAAAUGGUGAGUGCUAAGUGUUAGGGGGGUUUCCGCCCCUUAGUGCUGCAGCUAACGCAUUAAGCACUCCGCCUGGGGAGUACGGUCGCAAGACUGAAACUCAAAGGAAUUGACGGGGGCCCGCACAAGCGGUGGAGCAUGUGGUUUAAUUCAAAGCAACGCGAAGAACCUUACCAGGUCUUGACAUCCCAUUGACCGCUAUGGAGACAUAGUUUUCCCUUCGGGGACAGUGGUGACAGGUGGUGCAUGGUUGUCGUCAGCUCGUGUCGUGAGAUGUUGGGUUAAGUCCCGCAACGAGCGCAACCCUUGUUCUUAGUUGCCAUCAUUUAGUUGGGCACUCUAAGGAGACUGCCGGUGACAAACCGGAGGAAGGUGGGGAUGACGUCAAAUCAUCAUGCCCCUUAUGACCUGGGCUACACACGUGCUACAAUGGACGGUACAAACGGUUGCCAACCCGCGAGGGGGAGCUAAUCCGAUAAAACCGUUCUCAGUUCGGAUUGUAGGCUGCAACUCGCCUAC